AGGCUCAUAUCGGAAGAGCCUGAUGUGGGGCUCUAUCCCAUAACGCCAGGAUCAUGCCCUGAGCCAAAGGCAGGCGCUUAACCGCUGUGCCACCCAGGCGCCCCUAUGUGUAACACUUCUUGGGGGAAAUUGUGAAAGUUUACUGCUUAGCUCUCUUCCUUCCUCAAUUGCCAAGGCUAUGUCCUCAUUCUGGCCGCUUGCAGGGAGACGGCAAAGACCAGAUGCAGUUCACUUUAAACACCGGCUAUAUAGUGACUAGCCUUUAUCUCAACCAUUUAGAGUUUUGUUUUUUUGUGUUUUUUUUUUUUUUCUGUUAAACAAAUCUAGGAACUUGGGUACAGUACAAGACCCAAAUAUGGGGAAAAAAUAUCAACAAAAGAUAACAGCCCGAUGCGGGCAGUCCAGCAUGUAGACAACUGUAACGGUCAUGGAUUGUUGAGAACUUGCAAUCAAAAUGACUUGUGGGGUCAACAUAAAGAACCCUUCCUGUAAAAGCAGUUCCUUUGCUGCACUGUAAUCAUCCUUUUUCUCCUAUGGAAUAUGUAAAGGGUAAUCUGGGUAAGUUUUGAAAUAUAUUAAGAAUCCAACAGUUUAAAUGAAAAUUUGAAUGUUGUGAAUUGAUGUCUCAUUAGCAAAUUUUGUCAUUGAUCUUUCGGCUUAGGGCAGUGUGUGCCAUGACUUCCAUUUCUUCUGAAUAAUAGACUCAGCUCUAGUGAGCUUAUUUCUAUCAUCCUGAAAAAUAGAGGCUGGACAUGCUCCAAAUUAUUUCAUUGUAUUGGAAUGUCUUUGUGUUGUAUUAUACUGUGAGUGUAUGGGCCAUUGGCUGGAAGCUGGAAUGGAGUUUUGCUUUUUUAUGCCUUAAAUCAUUUCAUUAUGAUUGGAUUGGACCCACCUUCUCAUAAUUUAUAUUAUAGGGAUACAUUUUGUCAUGCUGAAUACAUCAGUAUGAAGGUUUACAGUUGGCUCUAAGUUUGUGCUUGCUUUCUAGAAGAGUUUGUUGUCUCACCAGUUGUUGGAAGAUAGAAAACACCCAGAGCCCUUUCUGACCGCUAAGAGCAACAGAACAGAGGAGGAGGAUUAAGGUCUUUUCCUCAAACAGAUGUGAAAAUACAAGGGAAAUGAGGGGAGAAGGGGCCUAGAUGGACAAGGCUUGGUGGCCUCUACUUUUGGCAUAUAAAUUGACCCUAAUGUAAAAGGAUAUUUUUUUAACCUUAAAAGAAUGACUUUUACCAUAACACAGAGUAUACAAAUUUCCUUAAGAGUCACGGAAUUUUUUUUUUUAAAGACUUUAUUUAUUUGAG